rnacentral:rRNA from 1 species
CCUACGGGUGGCUGCAGUGGGGAAUAUUGCACAAUGGGGGAAACCCUGAUGCAGCGACGCCGCGUGAGUGAAGAAGUAUUUCGGUAUGUAAAGCUCUAUCAGCAGGGAAGAAAAUGACGGUACCUGAUUAAGAAGCCCCGUCUAACUACGUGCCAGCAGCCGCGGUAAUACGUAGGGGGCAAGCGUUAUCCGGAUUUACUGGGGGUAAAGGGAGCGUAGACGGCAGCGCAAGUCUGAAGGGAAAUGCCGGGGCUUAACCCCGGAAUUGCUUUGGAAACUGUGCAGCUAGAGUGCAGGAGAGGUAGGUGGAAUUCGUGGUGUAGCGGUGAAAUGCGUAGAUAUUAGGCGGAACACCAGUGGCGAAGGCGGCUUACUGGACUGUAACUGACGUUGAGGCUCGAAAGCGUGGGGAGCAAACAGGAUUAGAUACCCGUGUAGUC